rnacentral:rRNA from 1 species
UACAGAGGUCUCAACCGUUGUUCGGAUUCAUUGGGCGUAAAGGGUGCGUAGGUGGCGCCGUAAGUCAGGUGUGAAAUUUCGGAGCUUAACUCCGAAACUGCAUUUGAUACUGCGGUGCUUGAGGACUGGAGAGGAGACUGGAAUUUACGGUGUAGCAGUGAAAUGCGUAGAGAUCGUAAGGAAGACCAGUGGCGAAGGCGGGUCUCUGGACAGUUCCUGACACUGAGGCACGAAGGCCAGGGGAGCAAACGGG